GGGUGACGGCGUACCUUUUGUAUAAUGGGUCAUCGACUUGGUCUAUCUAGCAAGCUUAAGCCGUUAGGUGUAGGCGCAGCGAAAGCGAGUCUUAAUAGGGCGUAUGAGUUAGAUGGAUCAGACCCGAAACCGAGUGAUCUAGGCAUGACCAGGAUGAAGGUAAGGUAACACUUACUGGAGGUCCGAACCCACACCUGUUGAAAAAGGUCGGGAUGAGUUGUGCCUAGGGGUGAAAGGCCAAUCAAACUCGGAGAUAGCUGGUUCUCUGCGAAAUCUAUUUAGGUAGAGCGUCAUCCGAAUACCCUCGGGGGUAGAGCACUGGAUGGGUAAUGGGGCCCCACAGGCUUACUGAUCCUAACCAAACUCCGAAUACCGAGGAGUACUAGAUGGCAGACAGACAGCGGAUGCUAACGUCCGUUGUCGAGAGGGAAACAACCCUGACCUACAGCUAAGGCCCCUAAUUCAUGGCUAAGUGGGAAAGCAGGUGGGACGACCAAAACAACCAGGAGGUUGGCUUAGAAGCAGCCAUCCUUUAAAGAUAGCGUAACAGCUCACUGGUCUAAAUAAGUUGUCCUGCGGCGAAGAUGUAACGGGGCUCAAGCCAUGAGCCGAAGCUUAGGAUGAGUGAAUUCUUCGGAAUUCAUUCGUGGUAGCAGAGCGUAGUGUGACAUAGUUCCGUGUCUCUUUAGCGACUUCGGUCGUUACGGAGACGUGGAGCUUUCGAUGAAGCGGGCGCGUGAGCGAUCCCGUGGAGAGAUCACUAGUGAGAAUGAUGACAUGAGUAGCGACAAACAGUGUGAGAGACACUGUCGCCGAAAGUCCAAGGGUUCCUGCUUAAAGCUAAUCUGAGCAGGGUAAGCCGACCCCUAAGGCGAGGCCGAAAGGCGUAGUCGAUGGGAACCAGGUUAAUAUUCCUGGGCCAGAUGGAAGUGACGGAUCUCGAGGGUAGUUCAUCCUUAUCGGAUUGAGUGGGCUGCUUAGAGGUUCCUGGAAAUAGCUCCAUCGCUAGAUCGUACCCUAAACCAACACAGGUGGACUGGUAGAGAAUACCAAGGCGCUUGAGAGAACCACAUUUAAGGAACUCGGCAAAAUACCUCCGUAAGUUCGCGAGAAGGAGGCCCGGUUUUUACGCAAGUAGAGGCCGGGGGCACAAACCAGGGGGUGGCGACUGUUUACUAAAAACACAGGGCUCUGCGAAGUCGCAAGACGACGUAUAGGGUCUGACGCCUGCCCGGUGCCUGAAGGUUAAAAGGAGGGGUGAGAGCUCUGAAUUGAAGCCCAGGUAAACGGCGGCCGUAACUAUAACGGUCCUAAGGUAGCGAAAUUCCUUGUCGGGUAAGUUCCGACCUGCACGAAUGGCGUAACGACUUCCCCGCUGUCUCAAAUGUGGACUCAGCGAAAUUGAAUUGCCUGUCAAGAUGCAGGCUUCCCGCGGUUAGACGGAAAGACCCCGUGCACCUUUACUACAGCUUCGCACUGGCAUCAGGAUUGUGAUGUGCAGGAUAGGUGGUAGACUUUGAAGCCGGAACGCCAGUUUCGGUGGAGUCACCCUUGAGAUACCACUCUUCGCACUCUUGAUGUCUAACCGCGGUCCGUUAUCCGGAUCCGGGACCCUGCGUGGCGGGUAGUUUGACUGGGGCGGUCGCCUCCUAAAUCGUAACGGAGGCGCGCGAAGGUUGGCUCAGACCGGUCGGAAAUCGGUCGUUGAGUGCAAUGGCAGAAGCCAGCCUGACUGCGAGACUGACAAGUCGAGCAGAGACGAAAGUCGGUCAUAGUGAUCCGGUGGUCCCAAGUGGGAGGGCCAUCGCUCAACGGAUAAAAGGUACGCCGGGGAUAACAGGCUGAUACUGCCCAAGAGUCCAUAUCGACGGCAGUGUUUGGCACCUCGAUGUCGGCUCAUCUCAUCCUGGGGCUGGAGCAGGUCCCAAGGGUACGGCUGUUCGCCGUUUAAAGAGGUACGUGAGCUGGGUUUAGAACGUCGUGAGACAGUUCGGUCCCUAUCUGCCGUGGGUGUAGGAUACUUGAGAGGAGUUGCCCCUAGUACGAGAGGACCGGGGUGAACGUUCCACUGGUGGACCUGUUGUUGCGCCAGCAGCAGUGCAGGGUAGCUAUGAACGGACAGGAUAACCGCUGAAGGCAUCUAAGCGGGAAGCCCCCCUCAAAACAAGGUAUCCCUGAGAGCCGUGGUAGACCACCACGUCGAUAGGCCGGAGAUGUAAGCGCAGCAAUGCGUUCAGUUGACCGGUACUAAUUGCUCGAUAGGCUUGAUUUG
rnacentral:rRNA from 1 species